rnacentral:lncRNA from 1 species
AAGAUGCGAGGUGCAAGCAGUCCUCCAGCCUGCGGAGGAGGGAAACGCCAGCUCGGGAGAGCAACAGACUCAUAAUUUACCAGCCUUGUAGGGAACGGAGAGGCGUGGGAGAGGUGUGUAAAUCAGACCCAGCCCCGGCCUUCGCACUUCGCUCCCUUCCAACCCCCCAUCCUCGAUCCGGGGCAGACAGGCAUCGGAGCAGACUGCUGCUUAUUGAGGGUGUCAUCAGGAGGCUAUGAGCAAGCUGCGAGUUAGCUGUCACAGUCAACGUUCGACAUCUUUGAAGUUAAUGAUGCUAAAAGAAAAUGCUAGAAGAACUGUACUUAGAGAGUACGUUUUAAUAACACUACUGAAGAAGUAGUUCACAUUCCAAUAAAGCAUUAGAAAUAACUCGGUAGACUAUGUGGAAUCACAUCUGAAGGGUGAAUUAUCAUUUUAUAUCAGUACAUGUAUUGUUAGAAAUCAAUUCAUUCAGCAUGAAAUAUUAUCUUGACCACUCCUAAACUUCAUUACUGCUAUCACCUGAAUGUUUGAGUCUCCCCCAAAUUCAUAUGUGGAAUUCCUAAGCCCCAAGGUGAGCAUAUUAGGAGGUGAAACUGAUUUGAUCACGAGAGGGGACCCUCAGGAACAGAGGAGGGAGCUUAUGAUAGCCGCUGCCAAAGUCCCCUUGCCCCUCCCCCACGCAAGGACAUGAGAGGACCAUCUGCGAAGCAGAACCCCGGCCUUCACCAGGCACUGGAUUUGCCAGCACCUUGAUCUUGGACUUCUCAGCCUCCAGAACAGUGUCUAUUUUAUUAUGCAGCCCAAACGGACUAAUUAUGGAGCCAUCAUUAAGAAAGCACUAAACUGGAGUUCCCACUGGGACCUGGAGGGUUAAGAACCAGGAUAGUGUCCACGGGGAUGCGUGUUCAAUCCCUGAGCUCGCCCAGUGGGUGAAGGAUCUAGCGUUGCUGCUAAGUGGGGUAUAGACUGCAGAUACGGCUCCAAUCUAGCAUUGCUGUGGCUGUGGUGUAGGCCUCAGCUGCAGCUCCCAUUUGACCCCUAGCUUCCAUAUGCCUCGGGUGCAGCCAUAUAAAGGGAAAAAUAAAAAGUGCGAAGAAGAGGUAAGUUAGUCCUGGUUCAACGACCAUUUCAUUUGGUCCAUUUCUCAAAGUGGAUCUAAAGGAUCUUGCAGUGUUGGGAGUUCCGGGGAGGUGCACCCUCCAGGGUCCCUAAAGUGGGUCAUUAUCUCCUCCAGCCCCUCGCCAUCACACAUACUCCUCUGGCCAAUGCAGCAUCUGUUCACCAGAUACCCAUGGGUAGGGUAGCCAGAUUUAGCAAAUAAAAAUACGAGAUGUGCAGCGGAGUUGGAAUCGCUGAUCAACAACGCAUAGUUAUUUCGGUUAAAUUUCAAUUUCUGAUAAACAGGGGAUACUUUUUUUUUUAAGGGUUAAGUUCAGAAUAGAUUUAUCCUAACACAAUUACGCACUGUUUAUCGGAAGUUCACCUUCCAAGGGGCAUCCUGUAUUUUAUCUGACAACCCUACCUGGGGAAAGCUUUGUACGGUCCAGGGUCCUAACCCCGGUGUCUGCCUCCUCUUCCCAACCUGGGACCCUGGCAAUGAUUUUUUAAAAAAAUUUUUUUAAAAAAAGAUAUGUGCCUUUAAAAGAAGAUGUUCAUGAAAAUGCUAGAAUAUCAAAAGAAAGUGUUAGGCAGGACAGAAAUCUUGAGGAAUCCCUGAAAGACAGAAAGGAAAUCAACUGACAUAAAUAGCGGAACUCACAGCCUCCAGGAUGACCUAAAAAGACUGCUAGGAAACACCCUACUGCCUCUGGGGCUGCUCCAAAUUCAGAAGCUAGACGCAAUGAUGAGCAAGGAAAACAAAGACCAUGGAGAUUCGCUGGGCAACCCUAUUCAGAACCUCGAAACCCCCACCCUGGGUCGAGCAUCUACUCUUGGGACAGAACCACCUGCGUGAAAACUUGGACCAAAGAGGCAGGAAGGUGCCCUGAAUGACCACUGCCACUUAGGAGGCACAAGACCCCGCUGUACACCCAACCCCAUCAUCCUCAGCCAAUGACCUCCAACUUUGGAAAGCAAAUCCUCAACCAUAGAUUCCAGGCACUCAGGAUGAUGUAAGGACCAAGAACCUCAGGAAAACCAACAUCGCAUCAACAUCAAGAGUCACCAAAGAUAUACGGGUCCUGCACAGUCUUUUAAGUUAAUGCUUAGGUAUCUUGCAUUCUCCCUGCCAGCGUGAAUGAGACCACAUUACCUUCUCACAUAGUCCUCAUUUAUUUCUCGUAAAGGGAAAAUUAUUGCGCUUUGCAUGUUUGUUUUGUAACUUGUAACCUGACUGAAUUCUUCUUUCUUCCAAUACUUGUAAUUGAUUACCUUGGGGUUUAAGAACCAAUCACUUGGGAAAACUUUAUAUUUUCUGUUUCGACGUUCGUAUUUUAUCUCCUUUUCUAUCUAAUUGCAUUGCUUACAAUUUCCAGUACAGCAUUAAACCGCACCGGG